UGCGCCAUGGCUUGCGGCGCCACUUUGAAAAGGACUCUGGAUUUCGACCCGCUGCUGAGCCCGGCGUCCCCGAAGCGGAGGCGAUGUGCGCCAUUGUCAGCCCCGGCCUCGGCCGCUGCCUCCUCCUCCUUCGCCGCCGCCUCCCCGCAGAAAUACCUGCGUAUGGAGCCCUCGCCCUUCGGAGAGGUGUCGUCCCGGCUCACCACAGAACAAAUUCUGUACAACAUAAAACAGGAGUACAAACGCAUGCAGAAGAGGAGACACUUAGAAAAUAGCUUCCAGCAGACAGAUCCUUGUUGUUCUACUGAUGCACAGCCACAUGCAUUUCUCCUUACUGGACCAGCUUUGCCAGGUACUUCAUCUGCAGCCUCAUCACCAUUGAAAAAAGAACAGCCCCUGUUUACUCUCAGACAAGUUGGAAUGAUCUGUGAACGCUUGCUGAAAGAACGUGAAGAGAAAAUCCGUGAAGAGUAUGAAGAAAUUUUGACCACAAAACUUGCAGGUGAAGCUCAUCCCUGCAAGAGGAUGGGGACUUUAAUGGGGCAAACCUGUGGGACUAGGAACCACUACAAAUCUAACUGCAUUUUUGGUUGAAGAUUGCCUUCUUUGACCUUGCCCCUUUCUCAGAACACCCCACAUUGCUGCACAUGUAUUUUUCCACAAGGGAGGAAGGGCAAUGGAGAGGAGCAGCAUCUGAACAAUACGACGCAUUUGUGAAGUUCACGCAUGAUCAAAUCAUGCGACGAUAUGGAGAACAGCCUGCCAGUUAUGUUUCAUGAAUCACACUUUCUGCAUAUGUGGGCUGCCCUAUACACCCCGUUUUAUUGUUGCAAGCUGUCCCAGUAAAGACUUGCAGCAAUGCCAUAUUUUUUCCCCCUGUGAACACAGGUUAUUUCAAGCUUUUGUCAGUGGCAACCACUCUUAUGCAGCAACUGGUUUUGGAGUGCUCCCUGAUGUCAGUACCACCUGGAUGUGGACCUUUGCUACCUGUAAUAAUACCAGUGGCCUCAUUUGCUGUAUCAUUACAAUUUGGCUUCUUAUGUUAAUAAGUUUGAAAAAGUUAAAGGAUUAAAGCUGGUGUUCUAGAAGUUGCCCUUCACUGGUUGUGUAAAUAAAAUUGUAGAAUGACACUUCUGACUGAAGUUAGUGUGAUUUUCAUAACUGUGCACUACAACAAAGCUGUAAUCACAGUUAAGUUAGAAUGUAAUCCCAGGACAAUUUUAAGCAAAUAGCCCACAGUACUGCCUGUGAAAUAGUGAAGGAGGGCAUUUCUGUAUUCCAUGACUUUUUUGGGGGUUAAGAAUGGGUUUAUAUGAUUUCUCAUUUUUGUAGUUUUUAUUUAUUCUAUCAGUCUUUAACAAAUGUUUAUUGCUGCAAUUUUUCAGUGUAUCAUUGUUUUACUGCCCUUGUAGUACUGGAAUUUAGUUGGAAGAAUAAAACAUUUACUUCUAA